rnacentral:lncRNA from 10 species
CCAGACUGCCUGGCAGCUCUUUAGAAAGUUGUGUGACGUAUGAACCAGUUCUUCCCUAUAUGAGAGUGUACCGUACAUCGCAGGCUGUCCAGCAUCGACCCCACUGAUGGAUGCUAGUAGUCCUCCCCGCCAGCACUCAACAUUGUGACAGUCAAAAACAUCCUCUCUACAUUUUCAAUGCCCCUGUUGGGGUAGCAGGACUCCCACUGAGAGACCCCAGUAGAGAUGGUCCCCAAGCAUGCUAACCAUGAAGCAGUGAUAUCGCACAGCACCUGCUUCCAGCAGCCCGGAGCCAAGGGGCAAAAUGGAAAGAGUCAGCAUUUCUCUUUUAGGUUCUCUGCCUCUCUAGUGUGUAAGCUUUUAACCCCCACUACGCGUCUUCGUUCCAUUCUCCUCCAGUACCCAUUUUAGUGAGCUUCUGUUGUUUCUGCCCCAGGAUAUCUCUAACAAAGAACCAAGAUAUUUAUCAGGAGAACUUCUCCCACUCUCCUCUCAGUCCUUGGGGAUCUGAUGAAAUGACACUUCUUGGACUGUGGGGUGGAGCAUGUGAGUCACACCUGGGCCAAUCAUUUUAUCCUAUUUCGUGACCACAUGACCAAUUCAGGGAUGGGAACAUGACCCAGGUGGAACCUAUGAGAGGCAGUGAGAUCUUUCCAGGUACUUCCAGGAAAGAGGGUCUCACUUUUCCCUCUAUAAUGUACACCAGAGAAGGUGUGUGGCUGAAGCUGCUACCAUCCUCUUGUGGCUACAGGAAGCUGGGAUUAAUUGUAACAACGCAAUUGGCAGAUCUGAAAGCUGAGAACAAAAAAGCAAAAAACCUGUGUUCUAAUAACACUAUAUAUGAGCCCUAAAUCCAGCUAUGCCUGGAGCCAGUCUUACUGUGGAAUUUUUAACCUAAGCUGGUUGAUAAAUUAUCUUUUCAUUUAAGACAAAGUCAUGGCAGAUUUUUUGCCACUUGUGAGAAGAAGACAGAUACACCCAAGAAGCUCCUGUUCUUUCUCAUUAACCCAUAUUAAAACCCACUUUCGGGAAAGGAUUCUCCAUUCUAAAUUAUUAAUAACUGAUAAUGCUUCAAAGUCAAAGUAUGACUCCUUCAAGAAAGUUUUCAGCUUUCAGGAUUUGUUCAGCAAAUACUGAGCCCCUUCUGAUGCAAAUAGACAUGGCAGUGUAUGCUAGGAGGAGAGUGUAGCCAAGUUUUCCCAUCAAACUCGGUAUUUCAGUGCCUAAUUUUGGCCAUUCAGAUAAGUUUCAACUUCUAGUAAUGGCCAAGUAAAUUAUAUCUAACUAAACCUUCUGCCAAAGACAGUGGUAAAUUCUGGACCCAAAACACAAUGAUAACAACAAAACCUGUUUGAAGGUUCUUGAAACUGGCCAACAUGGUUUGGUUCUGCAGACAAAAACUGAAGACAUGACCCUUGAAAAAAGGAAAUCACAUAUGGUGAGAUACACAUUUAUCAGGUUUUCCUUCAGCAGCGCUAUCCAUUUCCUGCAGUGGACGGAGGUAGAGCUCAGCAGAAAGUGGCUGUUCUACUGAGUUAAAAAGUUAGAGGUUAGAAUUUGGGGCUUCCACAGUAGCAGGAGAUUGGGAAGGAGGGAAUCUCGCAAAGGAGGGAGUCUCAGAUGGGGAGCUCCCAAAUCUGUGUACAAACUUCUCUGAUUCCUAAACUGUGCAUCUGGGUGAGGUUCAAGGAGCUGAGGGAAAAAUAACAGCUGGAAGGCUAAAAAGGUGUUGUCUUGUGUUGAGCAGAUGGUGCUUAGGGUUUAGUUCUCACCAAGUUAGAGGACUCUGGAGAACACCUAAAGCUUUCUACUGAGACUACAGAAGGAGUAAUGACUACUCCCCAGGACUAAAGCCUAUGUCCUAGGAAUAAAGGCAAAACCAAGAUAGGCCCACCCUGACAAAGCCUAAAACCAACUCUUCAUAGCCGCAUUAUGCAAUAUAGUAACUUCUAGGCACACAUGGCAUUUCAAAUUUAAUUAAAACUAAGUAAAAUUUAACAUGUAGUUCCUCAGACACACUAGCCACAUUUCAAAUGUUCACAGACACAUGUAGUUAAUGGCUAUGAUACUGGACUGCACAGACUACAGAAUAUUUCUAUCAUCAUGGAAGUUCUAUUGAAUGGCAUUGCUCUAUAGGAUCAAGACUAUGCUAGUAAUUUAACUGCUUGAUAGAACAAAUGUCAAAUUUCUUCUAAGGAAGAUAGUAGACUCCAAAGUCUUUUUAAUAUCAUCCAAAAUGCUCAGCAUACAAUUUUUAAAAAUUACUAAUUGUGCAAAGAAUCAGGAAAAUGUAACCUACAGUGAAGAGAAACAACAGGUGAUAAACAUAGACUCACAAGUGACCCAGAUGUUAGAAUUACAAAAGACUUAAUAACUAUAAUAAGUUAAAGAGUCUAUAGGAAAAUAUAUCUGUAGUAGCUGAAGAGAUGGAAAAUUUUAAGAGAGCUAUGGAAACUUUAAAAAA